rnacentral:rRNA from 1 species
GACAGAGGGUGCAAACGUUGUUCGGAAUUACUGGGCGUAAAGCGCGUGUAGGCGGCUAUGUAAGUCGGGCGUGAAAUCCCACGGCUCAACCGUGGAAGUGCACUCGAAACUGCAUAGCUAGAGUCCUGGAGAGGAAGGUGGAAUGCUUGGUGUAGAGGUGAAAUUCGUAGAUAUCAAGCGGAACACCGGUGGCGAAGGCGGCCUUCUGGACAGUGACUGACGCUGAGACGCGAAAGCGUGGGGAGCAAACAGG